AUUGAACGCUGGCGGCAUGCCUUACACAUGCAAGUCGAACGGCAGCACGGGAGCAAUCCUGGUGGCGAGUGGCGAACGGGUGAGUAAUAUAUCGGAACGUGCCCGGUCGUGGGGAUAACGUAGCGAAAGCUACGCUAAUACCGCAUACGAUCUACGGGUGAAAGCGGGGGAUCGCAAGACCUCGCGCGAUUGGAGCGGCCGAUAUCAGAUUAGGUAGUUGGUGAGGUAAAGGCUCACCAAGCCGACGAUCUGUAGCUGGUCUGAGAGGACGACCAGCCACACUGGGACUGAGACACGGCCCAGACUCCUACGGGAGGCAGCAGUGGGGAAUUUUGGACAAUGGGCGCAAGCCUGAUCCAGCAAUGCCGCGUGCAGGAUGAAGGCC
rnacentral:rRNA from 1 species